rnacentral:tRNA from 1 species
GGCGCUGUAGCUCAGAUGGCUAGAGCAUCCGGUUCAUACCCGGACGGUCACCGGUUCGAUUCCAGUCAGCGCCACCA